CUUGCUCCUGGGUGACGAGCGGCGGACGGGUGAGUAAUGUCUGGGAAACUGCCUGAUGGAGGGGGAUAACUACUGGAAACGGUAGCUAAUACCGCAUAACGUCUUCGGACCAAAGAGGGGGACCUUCGGGCCUCUGGCCAUCAGAUGUGCCCAGAUGGGAUUAGCUAGUAGGUGAGGUAAUGGCUCACCUAGGCGACGAUCCCUAGCUGGUCUGAGAGGAUGACCAGCCACACUGGAACUGAGACACGGUCCAGACUCCUACGGGAGGCAGCAGUGGGGAAUAUUGCACAAUGGGCGCAAGCCUGAUGCAGCCAUGCCGCGUGUAUGAAGAAGGCCUUCGGGUUGUAAAGUACUUUCAGCGAGGAGGAAGGCGUUGAGGUUAAUAACCUUGGCGAUUGACGUUACUCGCAGAAGAAGCACCGGCUAACUCCGUGCCAGCAGCCGCGGUAAUACGGAGGGUGCAAGCGUUAAUCGGAAUUACUGGGCGUAAAGCGCACGCAGGCGGUUUGUCAAGUCGGAUGUGAAAUCCCCGGGCUCAACCUGGGAACUGCAUUCGAAACUGGC
rnacentral:rRNA from 1 species